rnacentral:rRNA from 1 species
GGCUGCAUGGGCGCAGCCUGAUGCAGCCAUGCCGCGUGUAUGAAGAAGGCCUUCGGGUUGUAAAGUACUUUCAGCGGGGAGGAAGGGAGUGAAGUUAAUACCUUUGCUCAUUGACGUUACCCGCAGAAGAAGCACCGGCUAACUCCGUGCCAGCAGCCGCGGUAAUU